AGAGUUUGAUCCUGGCUCAGGACGAACGCUGGCGGCGUGCCUAACACAUGCAAGUCGAACGAACUCGGGACUUCGGUUUUGAGUUUAGUGGCGAACGGGUGAGUAACGCGUGAGGAACCUCCUUUCAGUGGGGGACAACAGUUGGAAACGACUGCUAAUACCGCAUAAUGUGUUUUGGGGCAUCCCCGAGACACCAAAGCUUUAUGUGCUGAAAGAUGGCCUCGCGUCUGAUUAGAUAGUGGUGAGGUAACGGCUCACCAAGUCUGCGAUCAGUAGCCGGUCUGAGAGGAUGAACGGCCAAUUGGGACUGAGAUACGGCCCAGACUCCUACGGGAGGCAGCAGUGGGGAAUAUUGGGCAAGGGGGAAACCCUGACCCAGCAACGCCGCGUGAAGGAAGAAGGCCUUCGGGUUGUAAACUUUUUUAGCAGGGACGAAGAACGUGACGGUACCUGCAGAAAAAGCAACGGCUAACUACGUGCAGCAGCCGCGGUAAUACGUAGGUUGCAAGCGUUGUCCGGAAUUACUGGGUGUAAAGGGCGGUAGGCGGAGAUGCAAGUUGGGAGUGAAAUCCCGGGGCUCAACCCCGGAACUGCUUUCAAACUGUAUCCCUUGAGUGUCGGAGAGGCAAGCGGAAUUCCUAGUGUAGCGGUGAAAUGCGUGAUAUUAGGAGGAACACCAGUGGCGAACGCGGCUUGCUGGACGAUAACUGACGCUGAGGCCGAAAGCGUGGGGAGCAAACAGGAUUAGAUACCCUGGUAGUCCACGCUGUAAACGAUGAAACUAGGUGUGGGAGGACUGACCCCUUCCGUGCCGCAGUUUACACAAUAGUAUUCCACCUGGGAGUACGACCGC
rnacentral:rRNA from 1 species